rnacentral:lncRNA from 1 species
GAUAAAUGCCAUCAAAGACGUGGCCAAGGCCCUUUCCGAUCUCAUUGGUGCUACCAAGGGAGCUGCCAGCAAGCCAGCUGAUGACCCCUCCAUGUACCAGCUCAAGGGAGCCGCCAAGGUGAUGGUGACCAAUGUCACCUCCCUUCUUAAGACUGUGAAGGCAGUGGAAGACGAGGCCACCCGGGGCACAAGGGCACUUGAGGCCACCAUCGAGUACAUAAAACAGGAGCUCACAGUGUUCCAGUCAAAAGACAUACCUGAGAAGACAUCAUCACCCGAGGAAUCAAUAAGAAUGACGAAAGGUAUCACCAUGGCAACAGCCAAAGCUGUGGCAGCCGGGAACUCAUGUAGACAAGAGGAUGUGAUUGCCACCGCCAAUCUGAGCAGGAAGGCUGUCUCAGAUAUGUUGAUAGCUUGCAAGCAAGCAUCCUUCUACCCUGAUGUCAGUGAAGA